rnacentral:rRNA from 1 species
AGUGAACGCUGGCGGUAGGCCUAACACAUGCAAGUCGAACGGCAGCACAGUAAGAGCUUGCUCUUACGGGUGGCGAGUGGCGGACGGGUGAGGAAUACAUCGGAAUCUACUUUUUCGUGGGGGAUAACGUAGGGAAACUUACGCUAACACCGCAUACGACCUACGGGGGAAAGCAGGGGAUCUUCGGACCUUGCGCGAUUGAAUGAGCCGAUGUCGGAUUAGCUAGUUGGCGGGUUAAAGGCCCACCAAGGCGACGAUCCGUAGCUGGUCUGAGAGGAUGAUCGCCCACACUGGAACUGAGACACGGUCCAGACUCCUACGGGAGGCAGCAGUGGGGAAUAUUGGGCAAUGGGCGCAAGCCUGAUCCAGCCAUACCGCGUGGGUGAAGAAGGCCUUCGGGUUGUAAAGCCCUUUUGUUGGGAAAGAAAAGCAGCAGGUUAAUACCCCGCUGUUCUGACGGUACCCAAAGAAUAAGCACCGGCUAACUUCGUG